AGGACGAACGCUGGCGGCGUGCUUAACACAUGCAAGUCGAGCGGAAAGGCCCUUCGGGGUACUCGAGCGGCGAACGGGUGAGUAACACGUGAGCAACCUGCCCCUGGCUCUGGGAUAGCCUCCGGAAACGGGGAUUAAUACCGGACAUGACCCUUGACCGCAUGGUUGGGGGUGGAAAGUUUUUCGGCCAGGGUGGGGCUCGCGGCCUAUCAGCUUGGUUGGGGGGUGACGGCCCACCAAGGCGACGACGGGUAG
rnacentral:rRNA from 1 species